AGAGUUUGAUCCUGGCUCAGAACGAACGCUGGCGGCGCGUUUUAAGCAUGCAAGUCGGACGGUAGGCUGGGGGCAACUCCGGCUGAGAGUGGCGAACGGGUGAGUAACACGUAGAUGAUCUAGCCCUGGGACAGGGACAGCUCAUGGAAACAUGGGGUAAUACCUGGUGAGGUCGCGAGGGUUGAGGCCUUUGCGAUGAGAGGCUCCAAAUGGAGCGCCUGGGGGUGAGUCUGCGGUCCAUUAGCUAGUUGGUGAGGUAAAGGCUCACCAAGGCAACGAUGGAUAGCCGGCCUGAGAGGGUGUACGGCCACACUGGGACUGAGACACGGCCCAGACUCCUACGGGAGGCAGCAGCUAAGAAUCUUCCGCAAUGGGCGCAAGCCUGACGGAGCGACGCCGCGUGGACGAUGAAGGCCGUAAGGUUGUAAAGUCCUUUUCUCCGUGAGGAAUAAGGGUGGGAGUGGAAAGCCCGCCUGAUGACGGUAAUGGAGGAAUAAGCACCGGCUAACUACGUGCCAGCAGCCGCGGUAAUACGUAGGGUGCGAGCGUUGUUCGGAGUUAUUGGGCGUAAAGGGCGUGUAGGCGGCUUGGGAAGUCUGAUUUGAAAUGCACUGGCUCAACUGGUGCGCUGGGUCAGAAACUUCCAGGCUAGAGUUCAUGGGGAGGAGCUGGAAUUCCAGGUGUAGGGGUGAAAUCUGUAGAGAUCUGGAAGAACACCGGUAGCGAAGGCGGGCUCCUAUGGAUGGACUGACGCUGAGGCGCGAAAGCGUGGGGAGCGAACAGGAUUAGAUACCCUGGUAGUCCACGCUGUAAACGAUGUGCACUAGGUAUGGGGUACGAGAGGUACUCCGUGCCGGAGCGAACGCGUUAAGUGCACCGCCUGGGGAGUAUGCUCGCAAGGGUGAAACUCAAAGGAAUUGACGGGCCCCCGCACAAGCGGUGGAGCAUGUGGUUUAAUUCGAUGUACACGAGGAACCUUACCAGGGUUUGACAUGUGCAGGGAUGCUCGAGAGAUCGGGCAGUCCGGUUAUCCGGAUCUGCACACAGGUGCUGCAUGGCUGUCGUCAGCUCGUGUCGUGAGAUGUUGGGUUAAGUCCCGCAACGAGCGCAACCCCUACCGUCUGUUGCCAGCGAGUAAAGUCGGGCACUCUGACGGAACUGCCGGUGACAAACCGGAGGAAGGUGGGGAUGACGUCAAGUCCUCAUGGCCCCUAUGUCCUGGGCUACACACGCGCUACAAUGGCCGGUACAACGCGAUGUGAAACGGCGACGUGGAGCAAAUCGCUGAAAGCCGGUCCCAGUUCGGAUUGGAGUCUGAAACUCGACUCCAUGAAGGUGGAAUCGCUAGUAAUCGCGCAUCAGCAUGGCGCGGUGAAUACGUUCCCGGGGGUU
rnacentral:rRNA from 1 species